GGGUGUGCAGCUCAGUGGUAGAGCGGCUGACUGCAGAUCUGCAGGUCCUCGGUUCAAAUCCGGGCCCGUCCU
rnacentral:tRNA from 1 species